CCACCCACCAGGUGAAGGCCUGCUCCUUACCCUCCGUGCUCUCCUUGCAGCACUUACCACCACUGUAACUAAACAGUGAUGGCCUUCUGUCAUUUUCCCCCAAGGAUAGGAGUUCAGGCUUAGACUUUCUGGCUCCCUGCUGUGUCUCCAGCACUUAGAACUCGGUGAGUGCUUAAACAGUUGUGGAGCAAAUACAGUCUCUCUCAGCUAUCCAGCGGCCCCCUGAAGCUGUGACCAUGCAGAGACCAAAGGUUGCAGGGGCGAUGCAGCUACCGGGAGAAGGGCAACAGGCCUCCUGGAGCCUCACUCAUGGGAAGUGAUUUCUCCGGAGACAGUGUGCUAGGUUCUGAGACAAAUAUCCUGAAGUUUUGUGCUAAGUGAAUGGAGGGUGCAAUAUUGUAAUUUGUAAGAAAUUAUUUGGUCAUUCAGGAAAUAUACCUCCAUAUACAUAUGUAAAUUUCCCAAGUGUUGAGAGUGAAAGAGGUGUGUUGUUAUAGCAAUAAAGUGACUUUCGGAAAGCACCUCAGGAUGGGCUGGUUGCCAAUGAAGCCAACCCAGUGGCCCUCAGGGUUAGAACUUUCUGUUCCUCCCCCACUUCCCAUACCUAACCAUGCCCAUCUCCAACCUCCUCCGGGGAGGAGAGAGGGGCUGGAGGUUGAAUCAAAUGACCGUGAUUUAUUCAACAGUGCCUGUGUAAUGAAGCCUCCAAAAAACCAAGAGGAUGAGUUCAGAGAGCUCCGGGAUGGUGAACAUGUGGAGACUUGGGGAGAGCAGUGCACCUGGAGAGAGUGGGAGCUCUGUGUCCAUUCCCACAUAUCUUGCCCAAUCUAUAACAGGUUGGUCAGAGCACAGGUGGAGAUGAGAUGGGUGGAAAGAUGAGAGACGAAAGAAGAAAUAAACAAGAGAAUGAACUAAAGGCUUCAGCUCAUCCUGGCCUCACAGCAGAGCCCCGCUAGGUGGCGAGGGCCCAGGAGGAGAGGACGGCAAGACUUGGGACUCCUCCCUGAAGAUCUCUUCUCUCCAGAAGUCACUCUACCCUGGCAGCUCAGAGAGGAGCGAGGCCAAGCCCACAAGCCUCGGUAUCCAUGCAAAUCAGAGGGUUUCAGGAGAGUCCGUAGAAAAGACUCGACAAUCUGGCACCAUGGGCCAAAAUGGGCUGCCCCAAGUCAUCGGGUUAGUCUCAAAGGGUAAAAUAAAGGAAGAAAAUGUUUCUA